GAUGAACGCUGGCGGCGUGCCUAAUACAUGCAAGUCGAGCGAACGGACGAGAAGCUUGCUUCUCUGAUGUUAGCGGCGGACGGGUGAGUAACACGUGGAUAACCUAGCUAUAAGACUGGGAUCACUUCGGGAAACCGGAGCUAAUACCGGAUAAUAUUUUGAACCGCAUGGUUCAACAGUGAAAGACGGUCUUGCUGUCACUUAUAGAUGGAUCCGCGCUGCAUUAGCUAGUUGGUAAGGUAACGGCUUACCAAGGCAACGAUGCAUAGCCGACCUGAGAGGGUGAUCGGCCACACUGGAACUGAGACACGGUCCAGACUCCUACGGGAGGCAGCAGUAGGGAAUCUUCCGCAAUGGGCGAAAGCCUGACGGAGCAACGCCGCGUGAGUGAUGAAGGUCUUCGGAUCGUAAAACUCUGUUAUUAGGGAAGAACAUAUGUGUAAGUAACUGGGCACAUCUUGACGGUACCUAAUCAGAAAGCCACGGCUAACUACGUG
rnacentral:rRNA from 1 species